rnacentral:rRNA from 1 species
GACGAACGCUGGCGGCGUGCUUAACACAUGCAAGUCGAACGGAAAGGCCCUGCUUUUGUGGGGUGCUCGAGUGGCGAACGGGUGAGUAACACGUGAGUAACCUGCCCUUGACUUUGGGAUAACUUCAGGAAACUGGGGCUAAUACCGGAUAGGAGCUCCUGCUGCAUGGUGGGGGUUGGAAAGUUUCGGCGGUUGGGGAUGGACUCGCGGCUUAUCAGCUUGUUGGUGGGGUAGUGGCUUACCAAGGCUUUGACGGGUAGCCGGCCUGAGAGGGUGACCGGCCACAUUGGGACUGAGAUACGGCCCAGACUCCUACGGGAGGCAGCAGUGGGGAAUAUUGCACAAUGGGCGGAAGCCUGAUGCAGCAACGCCGCGUGCGGGAUGACGGCCUUCGGGUUGUAAACCGCUUUCGCCCGUGACGAAGCGUGAGUGACGGUAAUGGGUAAAGAAGCACCGGCUAACUACGUGCCAGCAGCCGCGGUGAUACGUAGGGUGCGAGCGUUGUCCGGAUUUAUUGGGCGUAAAGGGCUCGUAGGUGGUUGAUCGCGUCGGAAGUGUAAUCUUGGGGCUUAACCCUGAGCGUGCUUUCGAUACGGGUUGACUUGAGGAAGGUAGGGGAGAAUGGAAUUCCUGGUGGAGCGGUGGAAUGCGCAGAUAUCAGGAGGAACACCAGUGGCGAAGGCGGUUCUCUGGGCCUUUCCUGACGCUGAGGAGCGAAAGCGUGGGAGCGAACAGGCUUAGAUACCCUGGUAGUCCACGCUGUAAACGGUGGGUACUAGGUGUGGGGUCCAUUCCACGGGUUCCGUGCCGUAGCUAACGCUUUAAGUACCCCGCCUGGGGAGUACGGCCGCAAGGCUAAAACUCAAAGGAAUUGACGGGGCCCCGCACAAGCGGCGGAGCAUGCGGAUUAAUUCGAUGCAACGCGUAGAACCUUACCUGGGUUUGACAUGGAUCGGGAGUGCUCAGAGAUGGGUGUGCCUCUUUUGGGGUCGGUUCACAGGUGGUGCAUGGCUGUCGUCAGCUCGUGUCGUGAGAUGUUGGGUUAAGUCCCGCAACGAGCGCAACCCUUGUUCACUGUUGCCAGCACGUUAUGGUGGGGACUCAGUGGAGACCGCCGGGGUCAACUCGGAGGAAGGUGGGGAUGACGUCAAGUCAUCAUGCCCCUUAUGUCCAGGGCUUCACGCAUGCUACAAUGGCUGGUACAGAGAGUGGCGAGCCUGUGAGGGUGAGCGAAUCUCGGAAAGCCGGUCUCAGUUCGGAUUGGGGUCUGCAACUCGACCUCAUGAAGUCGGAGUCGCUAGUAAUCGCAGAUCAGCAACGCUGCGGUGAAUACGUUCCCGGG